ACAAUAUGAAGUUAAAAUUCGAACUUGUGAAAUUACACAGCUGCUUGAUACACUGACAAUGUAACAAGACUCUAACUGCUAAAUUGGUGCAAUCCCAGAGCUAAGUGAAAGGUUGAAAAAAUUAAAGUUGAAGCAGAGACUGCAACCCCAAGCAGCAAGAUGAAACUGAAAUAUGAAAAAAACACAGACAACACUGCAAGAGUAGAAUAUUAACACUGCAAGGGUAUUGCAGUCAUGGUCAUUUUGUGGGAAUUAAGGCACAAGUGGUGCAGAAUCACUGAACAGGCAAGCCUACUGUUUAAAAAGUUUGUCAGAGAAGAGAAUGGACAGUCAUUGGACUCAUUGCAAAGGGCAAAAAGAAAGUCCAAAAAAAAGAUAUGGGGAUACAGGAUCCAAAGGAAAAGAUCAAAAGUAAUCCCACAGUGCUAGCAAGCUGAAGCUGAUGAAAUGUUUCUGAAACUUAGACAGAGUUGCCAUUAGCUGGGCAUUUAUCCCUCUGAAGGCCAGUGGUGGUCUCAUGACAGCAUUCCUUAAAAUCUUGCUCAGUAUGCAAGGCUAGCACACAUAGCCAGAGAUACUAGGAGCCUCCCUUACUUCUCUCUCUAAUCUAAGCAAUUCACUUCUUGAAUAAAAACUGCAGUAAUUACAUU